rnacentral:rRNA from 1 species
AUACGGAGGGUGCAAGCGUUACUCGGAAUCACUGGGCGUAAAGCGCGCGCAGGCGGUCUUUUAAGUUGGAUGUGAAAGCCUACGGCUCAACCGUAGAACUGCAUCCAAAACUAUUAGACUAGAGUGUGGGAGAGGAAGAUGGAAUUAGUUGUGUAGGGGUAAAAUCCGUAGAGAUAACUAGGAAUACCAAAAGCGAAGGCAAUCUUCUGGAACACUACUGACGCUGAGGCGCGAAGGCGUGGGGAGCAAACAGGAUUAGAAACCCUUGUAGUCC